rfam:Moellerella wisconsensis ATCC 35017 Sequence00019, whole genome shotgun sequence.
AACCCCAUGAAAACAUUGAUUUUUCGCUUUUUCUUUUACUUUAGUGCCUGAUAUACGGGGCUUAUCUGCGUAAGAGAAAAAACGAAAAGUUACGCUAAAGCCUCCUGAUGGAGGCUUUUUUGUU